rnacentral:rRNA from 1 species
GUAGGGAAUAUUGGGCAAUGGAGGCAACUCUGACCCAGCCAUGCCGCGUGCAGGAUGACGGCCCUCUGGGUUGUAAACUGCUUUUAUACGGGAAGAAAAAAUACUACGUGUAGUAUACUGACGGUACCGUAAGAAUAAGGAUCGGCUAACUCCGUGCCAGCAGCCGCGGUAAUACGGAGGAUCCAAGCGUUGUCCGGAUUUAUUGGGUUUAAAGGGUGCGUAGGCGGAUCUUUAAGUCAGUGGUGAAAGCCUGCAGCUUAACUGUAGAAUUGCCAUUGAAACUGAAGAUCUUGAAUGUGGUUAAAGUAGGCGGAAUGUAUCAUGUAGCGGUGAAAUGCUUAGAUAUGAUACAGAACACCGAUAGCGAAGGCAGCUUGCUGAACCAUUAUUGACGCUGAGGCACGAAAGCGUGGGGAGCGAACAGGAUUAGAAACCCUAGUAGUC